GCAGGGAAGAGGAGGAAAGAGAGGUCCUAAGGGCAGUAGGAAUGAGAACACGAAGGAACGCGAGUGCUCUAAAUUAUUUCUCCUCUAGCACUUGACAACAUUUGCAUUUUCAAUAUCGUGUUCCUGGUGUCUCUCAUUCCUAUGGUUCUUAGGUUCUCCUUCCUUUUCCUUAUGCUU
rnacentral:pre_miRNA from 2 species